rnacentral:rRNA from 1 species
AGUGAACGCUGGCGGCGUGCUUAACACAUGCAAGUCGAACGAGAACGGGUUAUAGCUUGCUAUAAUUGUCAGCUAAGUGGCGCACGGGUGAGUAAUGUAUAGGUAAUAUCCCUCUUACUACGGGUUAACAAAUGGAAACGUUUGUUAAUACCUUAUACCUCUUAUUAACAGAAGUUAAUAAGGGAAAGAUUUAUUGGUAAGAGAUUAGCCUGUAUUGUAUCAGUUAGUUGGUGGGGUAAUGGCUUACCAAGACUAUGACACAUAACUGGUAUGAGAGGAUGAUCAAUCACACGGGAAUUGAAAGACGGUCCAGAGUCCUACGAGAGUCAGCAGUGGAGAAUAUUGCACAAUGGACGAAAGUCUGAUGCAGCAUCGCCGCGUGGAGGAUAACUCAUUUCGGUGCGUAAACUCCUUUUAUAUGAGAAGAUAAUGACGUUAUUAUAUGAGUAAGCGCCGGCUAUCACCGUGCCAGACGCCGCCGUAA